CAAAAUGAUUUUGGGGAUAGUUCUAAACCCUAACUGCGAUUUACGAACCGAGUCCAAAAAUUCAACCUAGUGACAGUGAAUUUCGAGGUAAGAAAUGCUGAAAACAUUUAUGUGUACAAAGAUUUGCCUCAUUUCUUCUGCAAUUUGUAAAAUCGACAUUUCUGGUAGAUUGUUGUUUCGGUCUGGUGAAUGUGACAUUUCUGUAGAAUUUGUGGCUAAGUUCUAAACUGUAUUUUGUUAGUAUAAGAUAAGUUUAAUGUCUUUCUCUUUCUUCUUCACAGAGAGAAACUUGAGUCAUUAAGUAUUUUGUUAUUUGGUUGUACCAAUGGAUUCUUCUGUUAUGGAGCUAAACUGGGCAGGAACAAAACAGUGCUUGUCAUGGUGAUAUGUAACCCCAGCACAGGACAGUUCUUGACAUUACCAAGAUUGAACUCAAAAGAGAAUUAUGGAGUGGAAAUGGAAAGCUAUCUUGGAUAUGACCCCAUUGCUAAAGAGUUCAAGGUAUUGUCUUUUACGUGAUGAUGGUAAGGAGCUCCAUGUUCUGACAUUAGGAACCAACAGAUUGUCAUGGAGGGCGGUCGAAUGUUGCAUCCCACACUGUUCUUCUGGUAAGUGGAUUUGCAUCAGUGGCGUGUUGUACUAUAUAGCUACAGAAUCUGGGCCUUCUUCAGGAGAAUCUAUGGUAGUUUGUUUUGAUUUGAGGUCUGAGAAGUUCAGCUCUGUGACGCUCUUGGGAGGUUUCAAUAAAGCACUGCCUCAUUCAACAACUAUGAUAAACUACAAUGGCAGAUUAGGUUUGCUUAUGUCCUCGGAAAAUUCUGGCUAUGCUAGUCGAUCAUGUAAAAGUUUUAAGCUGUGGGUUCUUCGAGAUGCUGCAACGCUUGAGUGGUCAAAGCGUGUAUACGUAUUAUGUUGAGAAUGUGGAGCUUCUUUAAGCAUUUCAAAUGAGAUCAAGUGUAGUAGUCAUUUGUAGUGUGUUUCUUUUUUUUUCCCAAUCGUUUUUGUUAAAAAAAUCUACCUCUUGUAGAAGAUUUAACGAGGGUAUGAUAGACAAUCUUCUAGUUACAAAAUGAUGUAAUAGAGAGAGCACAAGUUUGCUCAAGCUUGCCAGAGAAUGAUGUUUGUCUAGACCCUUGUAGAUGAUAUGAUAAAGGGAAAAUUAGAAAAAUGAGACACUUUAAUCUUAGAUUUGUUCCAAUAAGACUUGUAGAGGAUUAUUUAGGUAAAUAAGAUUUAUAUUCUCUUUAAUACCAUUAUACCCUUAUAAUUAACCAAAUUAACCUUAAUUAAAAUUUAAAUUAAUUCGUAAUUGAUUUAAAUUUUAAUAAAAAAAAAAGAAAAAACCACAAAAGGAUUAAAAACUUGUUUACCCUAAUAUUUUUUCACUUCUCUUCUUCUCCGCCGUGUACCUUCAAGCCUUCAACCCUUUCAAUGUCAAUUUAGGAUACAAUUCAGCGAAUUGGGGAUUUGUUCUUUGGUUUGUCAGACGGUCCUCUUCUCUCUCUACGGUUUCGUCGGACGGUAUUCUUCUCUCACUACAGGUUUCGUCGGACGGUCCCUUCACAGUUUGAUGUAAGAUCUGGUCUAAACCACAUUGCAGAUCAGGCCUGACAUCGAAAGGAUCGAGAAAUGGGUGUUACGCAUUGCUUAUGAUGAUGAGAAGAAUCCUUAUCUACCGAAGGUUUUCAAACAGAGCCAUCUUUGGAAAAUUCUUCCCUAAGAGCGCUGCUAGAGCUACUGUGCCAGGAGGUCCAAGUGUACCAUGUAGUACAGCGAAGGCUGUGGAAUGGGACGCUGCUUGGUCACAGAACCUUGACCUGUCGGGUUGUGCGGCUCUUGGAGUUCAUGUUGCAGCUUAUGAGGAAGAUAAAGCCGAAGGUACCCGUCCUAAGAAGCUACAGGCAGAGAAAACUGCAGAAGGCAUUGUUUGAGGAUUAAACAAGGUUUAUAACGAAUGUUUGCAUCGCACAUUUCUCUUAUUUUCUCAAAAGACAAUACUUUAUCAUCUUCCGUAGGGUCAAUAAGUGCCAAUAAGUUGUCUCUUUAACUUUAGGAGUUUCUGAGGAUGUACCUAAGUUUCUGGUGAUUUUCUAUUUGUUUUCCUGAAUAUGAAUCUUUCUUCUGUUACAAAGUUUCAACUUUUUUUUUU